AGUGAACGCUGGCGGUAGGCCUAACACAUGCAAGUCGAACGGCAGCACAGUAAGAGCUUGCUCUUACGGGUGGCGAGUGGCGGACGGGUGAGGAAUACAUCGGAAUCUACUUUUUCGUGGGGGAUAACGUAGGGAAACUUACGCUAAUACCGCAUACGACCUACGUGUGAAAGCAGGGGAUCUUUGGACCUUGCGCGAUUGAAUGAGCCGAUGUCGGAUUAGCUAGUUGGCGGGGUAAAGGCCCACCAAGGCGACGAUCCGUAGCUGGUCUGAGAGGAUGAUCAGCCACACUGGAACUGAGACACGGUCCAGACUCCUACGGGAGGCAGCAGUGGGGAAUAUUGGACGAUGGGCGCGAGCCUGAUCCAGCCAUACCGCGUGGGUGAAGAAGGCCUUCGGGUUGUAAAGCCCUUUUGUUGGGAGAGAAAAGCAGCAGGUUAAUACCCCGCUGUUCUGACGGUACCCAAAGAAUAAGCACCGGCUAACUUCGUG
rnacentral:rRNA from 1 species